AGGAACAUGUGGUUAAUUCGAUGAUACGCGAGGAACCUUACCUGGGCUUAAAUGUAGAGUGCAUUUUUAGAGAUAGAAAUUCCCUUCGGGGCUUUCUGCAAGGUGCUGCAUGGUUGUCGUCAGCUCGUGCCGUGAGGUGUCGGGUUAAGUCCCAUAACGAGCGCAACCCUUAUCGUUAGUUGCCAUCUGGUAAUGCAGGGGACUCUAGCGAAACUGCCACCGUAAGGUGAGAGGAAGGUGGGAUGACGUCAAAUCAGCACGGCCCUUAUGUCCAGGGCUACACGCGUGUUACAAUGGUCGGUACAGAGGGCAGCUACCUGGUGACAGGAUGCUAAUCUCGAAAACCGGUCUCAGUUCGGAUCGAAGUCUGCAACUCGACUUCGUGAAGCUGGAUUCGCUAGUAAUCGCGCAUCAGCCAUGGCGCGGUGAAUACGUUCCCGGGCCUU
rnacentral:rRNA from 1 species